UACGUAUGGGGCAAGCGUUAUCCGGAUUCACUGGGUGUAAAGGGGGCGCAGGCGGCUUUGCAAGUCUGGCGUGAAAACCCUCGGCUCAACCGGGGGACUGCGCUGGAAACUGUAGAGCUAGAGUGUCGGAGGGGCAGGCGGAAUUCCUGGUGUAGCGGUGAAAUGCAUAGAUAUCAGGAGGAACACCGGUGGCGAAGGCGGCCUGCUGGACGAUAACUGACGCUGAGACCCGAAAGCGUGGGGAGCAAAC
rnacentral:rRNA from 1 species